rnacentral:rRNA from 1 species
CGAACGCUGGCGGCGUGCUUAACACAUGCAAGUCGAACGAUGAAGUUCCUUCGGGAAUGGAUUAGUGGCGAACGGGUGAGGAACACGUGAGAAACCUGCCUUUCAUUUUGGGAUAACUCCGGGAAACCGGGGCUAACACCGAAUACUCCAUCUCGGCGGCAUCGCUGUGCUGGGAAAAAUUUUGAUGAAGGAUGGUCUCGCGGCCUAUCAGCUAGUUGGUGAGGUAAUGGCUCACCAAGGCAACGACGGGUAGCCGGCCUGAGAGGGCGACCGGCCACACUGGGACUGAGACACGGCCCAGACUCCUACGGGAGGCAGCAGUGGGGAAUAUUGGGCAAUGGGCGCAAGCCUGACCCAGCGACGCCGCGUGAGGGAUGAAGGCCUUCGGUUGUAAACCUCUUUCAGUAGGAAGAAGCGAAAGUGACGGUACCUAACGAAGAAGCACCGGCUAACUAUGUGCCAGCAGACUUCUUUUCUCAAGGAGGAAGAUCUGACGUUACUUGAGGAAUAAGCAUCGGCUAACUUCUGUGCCAGCAG